CCGACUUGGAUGGGGGGCAACCUCUGAAAGGAUUGAGUAAGAGCAUUUAUGUUAGGACCCGAAAGAUGGUGAACUAUGCCUGAGUAGGGCAAAGUCAGAGGAAACUCUGAUGGAGGCUCGAAGGGGUUCUGACGUGCAAAUCGAUCUUCAAACUUGGGUAUAGGGGCGAAAGACUAAUCGAACCAUCGAGUAGCUGGUUCCCUCCGAAGUUUUCCCUCAGGAUAGCUGGAACUUAUGAGAAAGUAGUUUUAUCAGGUAAAGCGAAUGAUUAGAGGCUUUGGGGAAGAAACUUCCUCGACCUAUUCUCAAACUUUAAAUAGGUAAGAUUUGAAGGAUACUUAAGUGAUCUUUCAAUCUCUUGAAUAUAAAGUUCUUAGUGGGCCAUUUUUGGUAAGCAGAACUGGCGAUGUGGGAUGAACCGAACGUUAAGUUAAAGUGCCAAAUAAUACGCUCAUGAGAUACCAUAAAAGGUGUUGGUUCAUUUUGACAGCAGGACGGUGGCCAUGAAGUCGAACCGCUAAGGAGUGUGUAACAACUCACCUG
rnacentral:rRNA from 1 species